AUUUAAAUAGCUUAAAAUUAGAGCGUAACAUUGAAGAUGUUUAGGUAGUAAAUUUACUUUUAAAUA
rnacentral:tRNA from 1 species